AUUGAACGCUGGCGGCAUGCUUUACACAUGCAAGUCGAACGGUAACAGGUCUUCGGAUGCUGACGAGUGGCGAACGGGUGAGUAAUACAUCGGAACGUGCCCAGUAGUGGGGGAUAACUACUCGAAAGAGUAGCUAAUAACGCAUGAGAUCUAUGGAUGAAAGCAGGGGACCUUCGGGCCUUGUGCGACUAGAGCGGCGGAGGGCAGAUUAGGUAGUUGUGGGGGUAAAGGCUUACCAAGCCUGCGAUCUGUAGCUGGGCUGAGAGGACGACCAGCCACACUAGAACUGUGCCGCGGCCCAGACUCCUACGGGACGCGGCAGUGCGGAAUUUUGGACAAUGCGCGGAAGCCUGAUCCAGCACAGCCACGUGGAGGAUGAAGGCCCUCGGCUUGUAAACUGCUUUUGUACGGAACGAAAAGCAUGGGGAUAAUAUCCCCGGGUCAUGACGGUACCGUAAGAAUAAGCACCGGCUAACUACGUG
rnacentral:rRNA from 1 species